rnacentral:rRNA from 1 species
UACGUAGGGUGCAAGCGUUAAUCGGAAUUACUGGGCGUAAAGCGUGCGCAGGCGGUUGUGCAAGACCGAUGUGAAAUCCCCGGGCUUAACCUGGGAAUGGCAUUGGUGACUGCACGGCUAGAGUGUGUCAGAGGGGGGUAGAAUUCCACGUGUAGCAGUGAAAUGCGUAGAGAUGUGGAGGAAUACCGAUGGCGAAGGCAGCCCCCCUGGGAUAACACUGACCGCUC